rnacentral:rRNA from 1 species
AACGAACGCUGGCGGCAUGCCUAACACAUGCAAGUCGAACGAGACCUUCGGGUCUAGUGGCGCACGGGUGCGUAACGCGUGGGAACCUGCCCUUAGGUUCGGAAUAACUCCCCGAAAGGGGUGCUAAUACCGGAUAAUGUCUUCGGACCAAAGAUUUAUCGCCUUUGGAUGGGCCCGCGUUGGAUUAGCUAGUUGGUAGGGUAAAAGCCUACCAAGGCGACGAUCCAUAGCUGGUCUGAGAGGAUGAUCAGCCACACUGGGACUGAGACACGGCCCAGACUCCUACGGAAGGCAGCAGGGGGGAUUAUUGGACAAUGGGCGAAAGCCUAACCCAGCAAUGCCGCGUAGGUGAUGAAGGCCUUAGGUUUGUAAGGCUCUUUACCCGGGAUGAUAAUGACAGUACCGGGAGAAUAAGCUCCGGCUAACUCCGUG